CAUUUUUUUUCCAUUCUUUCUUCUUCAACCGUGGGAAAGAACUGAAAAUGGCAGCCAUGGAUGAGCUCCAUUCAGCCAAGCUUCUAUGGCUUAUAUAGAUGAUGAAAAUUGAGACUUGGACCUAGAACGGAAAGAAAUCGAUUUAUGGACGAGUAUGUCCUUUUCACAUUUGUGGUAUCGAGAGUUCCAGGUUAGCUCGGGUUGGAGGCCGUCAGAGAUAUUAUCACCCUAUCGAGUUAACGUUAUCGGAGUAAGUAAACUCAAGUGAUUCGAGUCUAUGGCAUGUAUAGGGUUUUAAUGUGAGUAUGUAAUAUUAUGAUUUAGCCAAAGGCAUUGGCUUGUUAUUAAGGUAGUAUUAGUCAUGUAAAUUGGCCUAUGUCGGCUAAUGACGUUAUGGGCCCAUAUGAUUAUUCUUAUGCAUUUAUGUUAUUAUUUCUUGUGAUGUGGCUUACAA